rnacentral:tRNA from 1 species
CCACCGGCAGGCGUUCCGGUGUCCCGGGGCACCUCACCGGUGCCGCCGGAGGCCUCCCCGGCCGGCCCGUUCGACCCGGGCCCCGUGGCC